AACGAACGCUGGCGGCAUGCCUUACACAUGCAAGUCGAACGGCAGCACGGGAGCAAUCCUGGUGGCGAGUGGCGAACGGGUGAGUAAUAUAUCGGAACGUGCCCAGUCGUGGGGGAUAACGUAGCGAAAGCUACGCUAAUACCGCAUACGAUCUAUGGAUGAAAGCGGGGGGAUCGCAAGACCUCGCGCGAUUGGAGCGGCCGAUAUCAGAUUAGGUAGUUGGUGAGGUAAAGGCUCACCAAGCCGACGAUCUGUAGCUGGUCUGAGAGGACGACCAGCCACACUGGGACUGAGACACGGCCAGACUCCUACGGGAGGCAGCAGUGGGGAAUUUUGGACAAUGGGCGCAAGCCUGAUCCAGCAAUGCGCGUGCAGGAU
rnacentral:rRNA from 1 species